AGCAAAGUGAAGAGGAGUUUCAUUUUGGUUGUUGUGAGCAUUUGGAUCAGCACCAUUUUCUAGAAGGAUAGUUGCACAUUUCUCUUCCAGGUAUUGUAGGGCUUGUUGGGUUUAUACCAAGAAAUAAACUGUAAAUUUUGACAAUCCAAGAAAAACAUUUCGUAUGUUUUACUAAUUAAUCAUAUUAAAUAUAAUUAAUCAAUUUUUCUUCUAAGCAUUUCUAUCAUUUUUUUUUCUGCAGAUAUCCUUGGCUACAUCUACCUUCAUCAAUGGUGUGUUGCCAUCACAGUCACAGAGGUAAACAUUACAUUUUUUCUUCACUAAAAAAGCCACCAAUUCUGGGUGGCCAAAGGCAUAGGCAUAAUGUAGAGCAGUACUAUGAAGGCAAGAGGCUUUGUUAGAAGUUCAUAAAGCAUCCUCUCAAAAUACAUGAUUAUUUAUUCAAUUAUCAACAUUAAAUAGUAUGCAAGUCCUCUACUAUUUUCUAAAGAAAGAACAAUAUUUACUAGCUGUUAGUACACACUAAGUUAAUAAAUGAGCAGCCUAUUCUGUUGAUUUUUUCUUUUGUCUUUUUUGGAUACUGCUAGGGACUGAAGCCAGGAGCACUCAAUCCGGGAGCAAUAUCCUAAGCCCAUUUUUAUUAUUAUGAUUUUUUUUUAAAAUUUUGAGGCAGAGUCUCCAUAAGUUGCCCAGGCAAUCAUUGAACUUGCAAUGCUUCUGCUUCAUUCUCCCAAGUAUCUAGAAAUAUAGGCAUGAGCUACUGGGUCUGGUCCCAUUGAUCUUUUAUUAUUUAUUUAUUUAUUUAUUUGGUGCUGGCAUAGAAACCAGGACCUGGAGCCUCCUAGAUAAAGUCUCUAUCAUGGAGCUAUAUUUCAUCCCAGAGUGUCCUACUUGCCUAGAAAGAGCAUAGACCUUGAAUUUAGCUCAACAUUUGCUUGAAUUCUACUUUAACCUUUGUGACAUGCUAUUUAGUUCCCCUAUCCAUCAAUUUUAUCUCCAAUAAAAUACUGAUUAAAAUUAGUAGUUACCUACUGGGAUGAUAGCGUGAUGCUUAAAAUUAAAAUCUAUGUAAAAUGUUUGAACAGUUUCUAGCACAAUCAACAGCUCAAUAAUUGUUGGCUAUUGUAAUUAUUACCAUUACUACAAAUCAACAGAGUAUUUCACUUAAUGAAGAAGUACUAUUAUAGUGAUUUAACAAAUAUCUUGUAGGGACUAUGUAUUUCAAUGACUCUUAGAUGCUCUUUUUUUCUAUCAUUUUGACAUCACUGACAUUGGAAAGCCACUAUAUGUAUAAUGGCAGCGUUCAAUUUUCUUAUUCAUACAUGAAAUAAAGGACCAUCACACAGCAUCUUACCUUAAGUGAAAUGUGAUACACACAAGAGGUCUACAGUGGUUAUAGUCAUAUGAGUGGCAUUUAAAUUAAUUUUAGUUGUUAAAAAUACUAUAGGUAAGGAGAGAUGAAUGAUAAAACAAUAAUAAAAGACCAAAUUAAAACCAUAGUAAUCCUUGCUUUUCUUUUUUUAAAGUAAUUUAAAGCUAAAGGAAAUGUAGGACUCAAAUGAAUUAGCAUGGCUCAAUCUAUUCAAUAUUUAGAUUUACAGGAUAUACAUAAAUCAGGUAUUUCCAAUGUUCAGUUUUUAACACUGUCUUAACUUUUAAAAUGGGCAGUUUAUAAUUUCCUACCACCAGAGUGCUUCUGUUUGAAAUGGAAGAGGAAAAGUUUUACUUGAAAUUGAGUCCUAUCUCUGAAGUUUUAAAUUUCUGAUCAAUCAAACAUAAAGCUUUUAAGGAAGAGUCUUAAGAGUCAUUAUGUCAAUUACAUCCUAGGUAUUCAGAGUAUGGGUAUAAAUGAAUAAAAUAAAAGAACAGAUAAGUAUACUUGAGUUCCGUUUUUUAAAGCAAAAAUUAUGAAGGAAAGCAAUAAUUUGGCAGUAGUAAUAAUCUUUAUUACUUGUUCUCUUUCUUAUCAGCAUGCCACUAAAACAGAAUUAGUAACCUAUAAUUGCAUGUAUGUAUUAAAACAUAUCUAUAAGAAAUGUAAUAAUAUCUGUAAGCACAGAUGAAAAGUUCCCCUUUGCUUCUACAUAGAAAUGUACUAGAAGAAAACACAAAUGCCUCUUUAUACAUUUUAUAUUGGCAAGAACUUUCCUAAGAAAGAAAGAACUGAAAAGAAGACUUCCUUUUUUUCCUACCUCUUUUAAAAAUCUUUUAUUUAUUUAUUUAUUUAAUUCUGGUGCUGCGGAUUGAAUGCAUGGCCUUGAGUUUGCUAAAGCCAAAAUGACUUAUAUUUGACAAAGUACUCUUUUUCCAGAUGCUCAAGAAACAUAUGAACAUAGGAAAAAAAUAUUUGUGCUUCUGGUAAGAGAAGGAAUUUAAUUUAACAAGAAAUGAAAUAUAUUUCAGAGCUACAAAAUUUUGAGGAUGCAGAGAAGUUGUACUUACUCUGCAGCUUAAGGUUCAGCUACUUAAGACUCACUCCUCAAAUAAAUGAUUUGAUGGUAAGUUCUGUGCAACAUUUAGAAAGUAUAUGUUUCUACCCACCUAUUCUAGUAUACUAAAUAUACUUUCAGUUAUUUUCAUGUUUUGUAUUUUAUCCUGAUGUACUCACUUAUAUUUUGGCUGUUGGCAAAGAAGUAAUUCAUAAAAGUUUACAAUGUAUUUUGAUACCCAGAUUGGCAAGACUUUGUCUACUACAUAAACAUUUUUGUAGUGUGUCAUGAUCUUAAAUACUGCAUGCAGGUGGGACUCAAAAAUGUUAUAACCCUGAUAUUUUAAUUAAUUUUUUACUUUAAAAUUUUUGUGAAAUUGGUAACCAUAGAAAGAGCUCACACAUUGCAGACAAUGAAUAUUCCUUUUCACAAACACUGUCACCAGGGCACAGACCUACUAUGGAUAGCCUUUGUCCCUUGAGAACAAGGCAGAGCAAGGGACAUUAGGGGAGAAGCAGGCAGCUUGUGCAGCCUGGGAACCUUCUGUUUGCUGCUUUCUUGUUCUUCUGACUGAAGGCCUGCACUGCCUGAUCCUGUGGACCAAUGCUCUGCUCUCUCUGUUUAAAUAAACAAAUAAACACUAAGAGAUAACUACAGAAAGUAUAUUGGAACAGGGGAAUCAACAAUUUUGUGCAGAAAGCUUUGGGCACAUUUUUUUUUUUUUUUAAGUGUAAUCUGCCUGAAGUGUACAAAAUUAGAAAAGCAACAUGUGUUUGAUGCUUGGAAAGUGGGAAAGCUGCCAGUGAACUCUAUUGUCUGCUCUCUUGAAAAGUAACUUAACUGAAUGGAAUAUUUGCAAAAAAUUCAGGGCUAUUCAACAAGCCUUGUUAUGAAGUUGGUUGGCUAAUGAAGAUGACAUCAAGUUAUCCUUCAGAAUUUGAUGAACUAGUGAGUUAAGCAUGUGAGAAACAAAUAAUAUCUAGUGAGGAGUGAAAGUGUUCCUCCUAAAUGUACUAGUGUGAAUUAAGGUUAAAAAACAAAAGAACAACAACAAACGUGGAGCCAUGUUCUUAAUUCAAACAGUUCUAAUAAAGGUUCCUCAGUAGACAACAGGUAGUGGGUUAUAUUUGAAGAAUUUUUUUAGCCCUCUUGUUGCUAUAUUAUGAGUAAUAUUUUUUUCUCAUUAUGUACUUUUCUGCAAUGUAUGUGACCUAUUGUGAAAGUGUGUACAUUAACAAUAAACUGCUGUAUGUACUUAAUCGUUAAACAAUUAGUUUGACAAUUUGGAAUUAUAUGACCCUGGGAAACCAGCUACAGAUUUGUUUUUGUUUUACAACUCAUUAAGUCUGCCUGGGUGCUAGACCUCCAAGGUUUGCAGGUGCCUGGUACAGAAGCUCCAUGGGGGUAUGAAAGUCAAGUAUCCUGUUGAAAGAAGGGUCGUUCUCCCUCCUGCUCUGCCCCCAUGGGCACAGCUUCAAUAGUGAAGACCCAUUACCCUGCUUCCCCCAGUUGGCCCCUUGUCCUUCAGCCCCUGACUUCCCAGAUCCCAUACCUGUUCUUUCUGUCCGUGUCAUCAACGUGACUUCCACGAGCUAGGAAAUAUUUCACUCGAGGUAAGUCACCAUUUCUGACAGCCUCCUGAAAUUUGUAAAUCUUAUUUUCCAAGUGGUAGGCAACAAUGUUCCUCAAUUUUCCUCCAGGCCGAGGUCAUUGUGAGACAUUGGAUACUGGCUCCCCUUGGGGGAUUCCUCUGCCUCCAACUCGGAUUCUUUGAACUAAAGAGUAGCUGAACUAAAUCGCUGUAAAGCUCCCAAAAGUAUAGCCGCUGCAAGAUUAGUAUCUCUCCAUGGAAAAAUAGCCGUUGCCAGGCAACAUCCAUAAACAGAACUGUUUAUGGGGGGCAUGGCCUCUUGUUGGAUAGAAUCAGCUAGGCCAGCAGUGAUUGGCUCCUGGCAGACUCACCACCUACUAGUCAGCUAUUGGCUCUUCUGUCCAGUAGUAGAUGGAAGUGUAGGAUAUGCAGUAUUAUAGGUGGCGCUAGAGGGGAAGUAAAAGUGGUUGCCUCAGGCCCAAUACAUCCCAAUAUUGGUGGGGGAAGGAAAGUCUCACCUUGACAUCACAGCUUGCUGCUGCUGCUGCAUAGCAGCAGCAGAGAGAGAGCUGGAUGAAAUUUAAGCCUCAUGGUGCCAAAACAAAACUUAC
rnacentral:lncRNA from 1 species